GAACCCGUGGCGCAGUGGUAGCGCGUAUGAUUCCAGUUAUCAUGUGACUGUUUCCAUAAGGUCAUCCGUUCAAUCCGGGUCGGGUUCA